rnacentral:rRNA from 1 species
GAUGAACGCUGGCGGCGUGCCUAAUACAUGCAAGUCGAGCGAACGGACGAGAAGCUUGCUUCUCUGAUGUUAGCGGCGGACGGGUGAGUAACACGUGGAUAACCUACCUAUAAGACUGGGAUAACUUCGGGAAACCGGAGCCAAUACCGGAUAAUAUUUUGAUCUGCAUGGUUCAAAAGUAAAAGACGGUCUUGCUGUCACUUAUAGAUGGAUCCGCGCUGCAUUAGCUAGUUGGUAAGGUAACGGCUUACCAAGGCAACGAUGCAUAGCCGACCUGAGAGGGUGAUCGGCCACACUGGAACUGAGACACGGUCCAGACUCCUACGGGAGGCAGCAGUAGGGAAUCUUCCGCAAUGGGCGAAAGCCUGACGGAGCAACGCCGCGUGAGUGAUGGAGGUCUUCGGAUCGUAAAACUCUGUUAUUAGGGAAGAACAUAUGUGUAAGUAACUGUGCACAUCUUGACGGUACCUAAUCAGAAAGCCACGGCUAACUACGUGCCAGCAGCCGCGGUAAUACGUAGGUGGCAAGCGUUAUCCGGAAUUAUUGGGCGUAAAGCGCGCGUAGGCGGUUUUUUAAGUCUGAUGUGAAAGCCCACGGCUCAACCGUGGAGGGUCAUUGGAAACUGGAAAACUUGAGUGCAGAAGAGGAAAGUGGAAUUCCAUGUGUAGCGGUGAAAUGCGCAGAGAUAUGGAGGAACACCAGUGGCGAAGGCGACUUUCUGGUCUGUAACUGACGCUGAUGUGCGAAAGCGUGGGGAUCAAACAGGAUUAGAUACCCUGGUAGUCCACGCCGUAAACGAUGAGUGCUAAGUGUUAGGGGGUUUCCGCCCCUUAGUGCUGCAGCUAACGCAUUAAGCACUCCGCCUGGGGAGUACGACCGCAAGGUUGAAACUCAAAGGAAUUGACGGGGACCCGCACAAGCGGUGGAGCAUGUGGUUUAAUUCGAAGCAACGCGAAGAACCUUACCAAAUCUUGACAUCCUUCGACAACUCUAGAGAUAGAGCCUUCCCCUUCGGGGGACAAAGUGACAGGUGGUGCAUGGUUGUCGUCAGCUCGUGUCGUGAGAUGUUGGGUUAAGUCCCGCAACGAGCGCAACCCUUAAGCUUAGUUGCCAUCAUUAAGUUGGGCACUCUAAGUUGACUGCCGGUGACAAACCGGAGGAAGGUGGGGAUGACGUCAAAUCAUCAUGCCCCUUAUGAUUUGGGCUACACACGUGCUACAAUGGACAAUACAAAGGGCAGCGAAACCGCGAGGUCAAGCAAAUCCCAUAAAGUUGUUCUCAGUUCGGAUUGUAGUCUGCAACUCGACUACAUGAAGCUGGAAUCGCUAGUAAUCGUAGAUCAGCAUGCUACGGUGAAUACGUUCCCGGGUCU